GAGUUUGAUCAUGGCUCAGAUUGAACGCUGGCGGCAUGCCUUACACAUGCAAGUCGAACGGCAGCACGGGAGCUUGCUCCUGGUGGCGAGUGGCGAACGGGUGAGUAACGCAUCGGAACGUAUCCUGGAGUGGGGGAUAACGUAGCGAAAGUUACGCUAAUACCGCAUAUUCUGUGAGCAGGAAAGCGGGGGACCUUCGGGCCUCGCGCUCUUGGAGCGGCCGAUGUCGGAUUAGCUAGUUGGUGAGGUAAAGGCUCACCAAGGCGACGAUCCGUAGCAGGUCUGAGAGGAUGAUCUGCCACACUGGAACUGAGACACGGUCCAGACUCCUACGGGAGGCAGCAGUGGGGAAUUUUGGACAAUGGGGGCAACCCUGAUCCAGCCAUGCCGCGUGAGUGAAGAAGGCCUUC
rnacentral:rRNA from 1 species